rnacentral:rRNA from 1 species
CCCUUAGAUGUUCUGGGCCGCACGCGUGCUACACUGAGUGGAUCAGCGGGUCAGGUUGCGCGAAAGCGUUUCCUAAUCUUUAAAUCCGCUCGUGAUGGGGAUUGACGGUUGCAAUUUUCUGUCAUGAACGAGGAAUACCUUGUAAUCGCGAUUCAUCAUAUCGCGCUGAAUACGUCCCUGCCCUUUGUACACACCGCCCGUCGCUCCUACCGAUUGAGCGAUCCGGUAAAUGUUUUGGAUUGGUGCCGGGGCGGCUAGCUGCCGGUCGCUACGAAAUUUUGUGAACCUUAUCGCUUAGAGGAAGGAAAAGUCGUAACA